GGUUCGAUCAUGGCUCAGAUUGAACGCUGGCGGGAUGCUUUACACAUGCAAGUCGAACGGCAGCACGGACUUCGGUCUGGUGGCGAGUGGCGAACGGGUGAGUAAUGUAUCGGAACGUGCCUAGUAGCGGGGGAUAACUACGCGAAAGGUAGCUAAUACCGCAUACGCCCUUCGGGGAAAGCGGGGACCUUCGCCUCUCGCACUAUUAGAGCGGCCGAUAUCGGAUUAGCUAGUUGGUGGGGUAACGGCUCACCAAGGCGACGAUCCGUAGCUGGUUUGAGAGGACGACCAGCCACACUGGGACUGAGACACGGCCCAGACUCCUACGGAGGCAGUGGGGAAUUUUUGACAAUGGGGGGAAACCCUUGAUCCAGCCAUCCUUGCGUGUGCGAUGAAGGCCUUCGGGUUGUAAAGCACUUUUGGCAGGAAAGAAACGGCACGGAUAAUGCUACUCGUGCAACUGACGGUACCUGCAGAAUAAGCACCGGCUAACUACGCCAGCAGCCGCGGUAAUACGUAGGGUGCAAGCGUUAAUCGGAAUUACUGGGCGUAAAGCGUGCGCAGGCGGUUCGGAAAGAAAGAUGUGAAAUCCCAGAGCUUAACUUUGGAACUGCAUUUUUAACUACCGAGCUAGAGUGUGCCGAGGAUAUGAAUUCUGCAAGGUGAAAUGCGUAGAUACAGAAGAGGAAGUCGUCCGAUGAGCAAAUGUUCCGGAUAAUCAUAUGGUAUGUGGUAUGUAGUAGGUAAUGAUUACCUGGUAGUCCAUCAGCCUGAAACGAUGUCUGUAAUUACGUUGGGCGCCUUCACCUGUAGGCAGCAACUGCAGGUUGACGCCUGGGAAGUCGGUCGCAAAGAUUAAACGUGUUGAAUUUGCCGGAACUCGCACGCUGGUGAUGAUGUAUUUUAAUUCGAUGCGAUGCGCGAAAACCUUACCUACCCUUGACAUGUCUGGAAUCCCGAAGAGAUUUGGGAGUGUCGUGCAGGUCCGGAACACAGGUGCUGCAUGGCUGUCGUCAGCUCGUGUCGAGAUGCUGGGUUAAGUCCCGCAACGAGCGCAACCCUUGUCAUUAGUUGCUACGAAAGGGCACUCUAAUGAGACUGCCGGUGACAAACCGGAGGAAGGUGGGGAUGACGUCAAGUCCUCAUGGCCCUUAUGGGUAGGGCUUCAAGAAUGUCAUACAAUGGUCGGGACAGAGGGUCGCCAACCCGCGAGGGGAGCCAAUCCCAGAAACCCGAUCGUAGUCCGGAUCGCAGUCUGCAACUCGACUGCGUGAAGUCGGAAUCGCUAGUAAUCGCGGAUCAGCAUGUCGCGGUGAAUACGUUCCCGGGUCUUGUACACACCGCCCGUCACACCAUGGAGUGGGUUUUACCAGAAGUAGUUAGCCUAACCGUAAGGAGGGCGAUUACCACGGUAGGAUUCAUGACUGGGGUGAAGUCGUAACAAGGUAA
rnacentral:rRNA from 1 species